rnacentral:rRNA from 1 species
CCAAUCCCGGCUAAUAAUAUAUGGGGGGGGGGGCUAUAAUGCAAGUCGAGCGAACAGAAAGGAGCUUGCUCCUUUGACGUUAGCGGCGGACGGGUGAGUAACACGUGGGCAACCUACCCUAUAGUUUGGGAUAACUCCGGGAAACCGGGGCUAAUACCGAAUAAUCUCUUUUACUUCAUGGUGAAAGACUGAAAGACGGCAUCUCGCUGUCGCUAUAGGAUGGGCCCGCGGCGCAUUAGCUAGUUGGUGAGGUAACGGCUCACCAAGGCGACGAUGCGUAGCCGACCUGAGAGGGUGAUCGGCCACACUGGGACUGAGACACGGCCCAGACUCCUACGGGAGGCAGCAGUAGGGAAUCUUCCACAAUGGGCGAAAGCCUGAUGGAGCAACGCCGCGUGAGUGAAGAAGGUUUUCGGAUCGUAAAACUCUGUUGUAAGGGAAGAACAAGUACAGUAGUAACUGGCUGUACCUUGACGGUACCUUAUUAGAAAGCCACGGCUAACUACGUGCCAGCAGCCGCGGUAAUACGUAGGUGGCAAGCGUUGUCCGGAAUUAUUGGGCGUAAAGCGCGCGCAGGCGGUCCUUUAAGUCUGAUGUGAAAGCCCACGGCUCAACCGUGGAGGGUCAUUGGAAACUGGGGGACUUGAGUGCAGAAGAGGAAAGUGGAAUUCCAAGUGUAGCGGUGAAAUGCGUAGAGAUUUGGAGGAACACCAGUGGCGAAGGCGACUUUCUGGUCUGUAACUGACGCUGAGGCGCGAAAGCGUGGGGAGCAAACAGGAUUAGAUACCCUGGUAGUCCACGCCGUAAACGAUGAGUGCUAAGUGUUAGGGGGUUUCCGCCCCUUAGUGCUGCAGCUAACGCAUUAAGCACUCCGGCCUGGGGAGUACGGUCGCAAGACUGAAACUCAAGGAAUUGACGGGGGCCCGCACAAGCGGUGAGCAUGUGGUUUAAUUCGAAGCAACGCGAAGAACCUUACCAGGUCUUGACAUCCCGGUGGACCACUGUAGAGAUAUAGUUUCCCCUUCGGGGCAACGGGUGGACAGGUGGUGCAUGGUUGUCGUCAGCUCGUGUCG